GGACACUUUCCGGCUACUGACUCCAGGUGGAGGUGGAUAUGGUAUUGCUGCGAACCCUGCCUAUGACAUUGAGAGAAGCAGAGAUUCCCAUGAACCCCCUCAGAAGAAGCAGAGGCAUGUCGAGAGAGGCAGUGUGUUUGAGUACACGCGGGCACAGGAGAGUGUCUAAGCUUUACAGAUUUUAAUGUCUGCUGAUAGAUGUAUACAGUGGGAUCUGUUAUGCAGAUGUUUGGUAGUAAGAGAAGAGAAGUGAAAGAGAAGGAGAGAAGACUAAUUGACUUUUUAUUAGGCAGAAAACUAUGUAGGUUUGAAGUAGUAAUUAGUAAUUACUAAUGUCAAAGCCAGCCAGUCAAAAAUUCUAUAAAGCUGAAACUAGAAGCAAUAAUCCCUACAAAUCAAGGGUGAUUCCAAUGCCUAGUAUGUGAAAGUAGGUAUUAACCUCGUAGUGACGGGCAUGCCUAUAGCCGUCAUAACAUAAUAAUAUGUGAUGUGUAUACCUAUCACAGCUCAUUUUAAUGAGCAAGUGGGUGGACCAGCUGUACACCACACCCAGCCAGAAAGGCUAUACUGUUGCAUAAUUAUUAUGUCACAGAAAACUCUGGCCCCAUCAUGAUAGGUUUAAUGUUACUAUAAGCACACCAUUUAGAUAUUUCUAGAUAUAUUGAUUGGGUAUCAUAGAGUUGUAUUAAACUUUAAGUAAGGUUUGAAUGUGCUAUGCAAAUUGUUAUAUAUACGGAGCUGGAUGCAACCCUAUUGUAUGUAUCAUGGUAAACAGUUGGAUAAUAAUAUUGUUCAUCUAAGAGUUAUGGUUAGCAUUAACACAAUAAUGAAUAACUUAACUUUUUAAAAAUAUAUAGCAAGAAUUGCAAAGGAUAUUCUAGACAUAGUUAGAAAGUUCAAGUUAUUAACGCACUUACUACGGGUUGCCCCACGUAUGAGACACCCGGAAAAAUAAACAUUGCUGGCCAGCUGGCCGGUGUGACACCAGACUCAGCCGUGCGCUGAUUUUGAAGCCACCUGGAAAAUAUUAUUUUCGGCUUAUAAAUGUACUGUCGCUAGUGGGUUAAUGAUAAUUUAGAUAAGCCAAAGUGUCCAUUAUAUUAGGCUAAGAGACUCAUGCUCAUAUUCAGUAAUGCUGGGCACCUUUAUUGUAGAGGAAAAGCCUUACCAUAACCAUAGGUUUAGGUCCCCCCUGACACAAUGAAGUUGGAGGUACUUUUAUGUGCUAUAUUGGCCCAUAGAUUGUCUUUCUUUGAUACAUUCCUUGGAUAAGAGAGAGCUCAGAUCUACAUAUUUUUCACUUUUUCCAUAAAAUUCAAUUGAGACUGAAAUUAUUGGUUUAAUACAUUUCUCAUUUUUUCUAUGUAACUAUCUUUCCAGGGGCCGCAGAUGGCAUAACUUAUGUGCAAUUUUAGUUAUUAAUUGCGUUUACACAGGAAUGGCCCCACCAAUGCCUAGUCAUCAAGGAGUUAGUUAUUAUUAGUUAUUAGUCCAACCCAUCUCACAUAUUUACUCUUUUUCUUGAUAUUUGGAAAGAUUCCUUUUUAUUUUUUAUUAUUAUUAUAUUAACAUUACAAUAAUCAUGAUGUCACUAAUAAUCACACUAACAGUAUUGAUAAUAUUAGACGAAAACAGUCUCAAAUUGAAAGAAUGAAGAAACAAAGUGCAGUCACUAUGGCCUACUAAUUAUCUCCUUGGUGGCUAAUUACUUGUGGAGCCAUCUGUAUUCAACAAAAUUCGCAGAUGUACCCCCGGCCAAUGGGUUAAUUUCAGAUAACUAAUUGUAGAAUUGUGUGAAUACAGAAAAGAUUUUACUUUACAAUGUCCCUUACAAAUUGCAGUACAUGUUUCUCCCACCGUGAUAUUUAUUCUAAAUAUAUUAAUUAUAAAUACUACCUCCUCUAAUUUGCAUUACGUCAUGAACUUCUCAUUAUGUGUUUAUUCUCAAUUCAUAUAGCUUUAGUUUACACAGAACUUCAGUAUUCAUUUGUCAAUAACAGGAUUGUUCCUUUCAUUAAAACCUCAAGGUCAUAGAGUUAAAUAUACCUUUGGUCUAUGUAAACUGUGACUCGUUUUCAUUUCUAAAGUACAAAUGCACUAGUAUUGGUUCUGUUUUUAUUUAUUUAUUUUUUUAUUUAUUUAUUAUUAUUAUUAUUUUUUAAAAUUCUUUUUACAAGCCUUUUUCAGUGUUGAAAUAAUGUACAAACCUUUACAAAUGACUGCUUUUUGGUACAAAGAAAAACAACAACUAAAAUCUGCAAAACUUCCAGCUUGUCUAUCCUGCCAUCAACAAAAAAGGCGUGAUUUUCAUUUCAUUUAGGUCAAAUUUUAUUGCAGACCUUUGAAGAGCUCAAUAUUGUGCACUAGAAAAUAUAUAUUUUAUUGCCUUUUCUCAAAUACGUGUCAGUAGAGCACAAAAUUGAGAUAAGUAUCAUACUUACCGUUAAUGUAUGGCUGAUAAUGAGGAGAGAUUACUUUGAAUAUGUAAAUAAGACACAACAAAUAUUUUCAUCUACAAGGAAAUAACUAUUUAGCUGUAUUUUCAUAAUAUCUAGAUGUAUAAAUCAUAAAGAGACAAUAUAUCAGAAUGUAACUCCAUGAUAUGUUAUAGGAUACAAGUGUGGAGGGGGAGUGUAAGAGAAAGAAAAGGUCUAGGGUAUUGUCUGGAUGAAAUGUGCCAUACAGUACCAGAAUUACAACUUCACACACAUUUGUUUUCAUUCAUAAGAUAGAGGUGGGUAAACAUGACUGUAAUUGGUUCAGGCAGAGGAACUCUACAAGAAGAUGAGGAGUGAUAGGAAUGAUAUUUUGACUGUGGGUGAAGGAAACUUGGCAAAUAGUACCAGAUAUAUUAGUGGACACUAAGUUCUUGUAAUUCCAAAUGACUAAGUUGUUGGGAAAAAAAUCCCAUCAGUUUUUGCCUGUCAUGCCCAUGGUGAAUAGGACUUGUGUGUACAUUUUGCAAAUACCCAUGAUCAAAGCAAAUGGGAUUUUAGGUGUUAAGAAUAAGAACAGGACAUAAAUGUAUCACAGUAAAAGAGGGUAUUCCCUUUUCAGCCUAUAAGUCAGUUAUAUUUUCUCCAAGAAGUGAGGUGCCCUUACACUUUUUAUAAGCCAAAAACAACAAGAGCCCCUGGCACCAUACUGAACCAUGUAUUAGGGUGCAUGCAGAAUCAGCUGCUUAGGGGGAAAUCAGAAGUGUGGGAAACACAAUUACUCUGCUCCUUAUGCACUUGGCUGCAGCAUAAAUCAUUGUGUUGCUAAUAAGGUUAAAAGAGGCUUUAGGUAUACUUUUGGCAUCAAAGCAGGCUAUUGUAACAUGAUAGGAUAUCUUCCUGUUGUGAAUGGGUUAAUAAAGGAUUAACACUCACAGUGGGAUUUCUCUGUGCCAUAACAAGCCACACACUAGGCGAUGUGUGAAGUCUGUGCAGGAAACACAUUUACCUCAUUCUCUACUCUGUCUUUGAUCAUUUUUAGGAAAUGAGGCCAAGAAGAGACUUUAUACCUCAAUCUCAGUCUCUUCAGGGCUAAACAAGGAAGGGGAAAAAAAAAGUUUAGCCUGCAUUCCUAAGAGCAGAGUUAACUGUUAAUGAAUGGGUGCUUUUCUCCCUACAUUUGGCCCAGUUUGCCAUGACAUGAUUAGAAUGUCAUCCAUCAGUACAGGUGGAUUAAGUUUUAGUAUUAGUUUAGUAUUUUUCUUUCCUUCUAUCCAAUAAGAAUAAGGUGUUUAUUUUUUGGUGUACCUCAGCCCCACCCCUUAUUUUCAUAUUUUCUAAUUACUAUCUUUCUUUUCUUUCUUUUAUUUCCUAGGUAUAUUUUAUGAUAAUUUAACCUAGUAAAGCCUGGUAAAAAAGUUUGGCAAGUGGACAUGAUUGCGGGGUUGUUGGCACAUGUCGACAGUUUCCUACUUGUGCCUGGCUCGUUCUGUAAUUUGUGACAUUCGGCACCUAAAAGCUUUUAUUUUGAUUUUUUUAAAUAUAAAAAUUUUGAAGCUUUACCCUCUUCACUUUAGGUGCUAUUGCCUAAUAACAUUACCAUAGAAAUGUAGCCACUACCAUUGGAGAAAAACAAACUCUGUUCGAUGAGCUGACGGUGUGGGAAUGGUUACGAUAUGAUGCCACCUGCUAUUCUGUCCACAAAAGCCAUGGCAUGUACAUACAUGCCACCUGGGUGCAAUGGGUUAAGAAAUAAAUAAGUGCCUAUGUAUUUGCUUAUGUAUUGUUCUCUUGUUAUGUUACUGUAUUGUUAAAAGUUUAUUGAUAAAAAUUAUUAAAAUAUAUAAGUAUAUGUAUAAAUGCCCAAACACAUUACACACACAUUUACACACAUACUUUCAUAUGCACACGUGCACACACAUACACAUGCAAAUGUUGAAUAAGACAAACAACUUAAACAUGGUGUUAUCUAAAUUAAAAUUUAACCUUUAAAAUUAA